rnacentral:rRNA from 1 species
AACGAACGCUGGCGGCAGGCUUAAUACAUGCAAGUCGAACGCCCCUUUCGGGGGGAGUGGCAGACGGGUGAGUAACGCGGGGGAACGUGCCCAAAGGUAGGGAACAACUCCGGGAAACUGGAGCUAAUACCCUAUGUGCUCGAGAGGGGAAAGAUUUAUCGCCUUUGGAUCGGCCCGCGUUGGAUUAGCUAGUUGGUGGGGUAAAAGCCUACCAAGGCGACGAUCCAUAGCUGUUCUGAGAGGAAGAUCAGCCACACUGGGACUGAGACACGGCCCAGACUCCUACGGGAGGCAGCAGUAGGGAAUCUUGGACAAUGGGCGCAAGCCUGAUCCAGCCAUGCCGCGUGAGUGAUGAAGGCCUUAGGGUUGUAAAACUCUUUCGCAGGUGACGAUAAUGACGGUAACCUGAGAAGAAGCCCCGGCUAACUUCGUGCCAGCAGCCGCCGUAA